CCGCUGAAACAAAGAAUUGUUCGGUCCAUUUUGAAGCUCUCUGCGUCGGGAAUGUUAAAACACUUCCAAAUCAAACAUACAACGACGAAAACAAGGUAGAGGGUAGAGAGAAGGCAUUGCUCAAAGUGAAGAACUCUGCUUUUAAAAAAAGAAAGGUUUAAGCUAAAGUGAACCAGACUUUAGAAAAACCCCUUCUAAGAUUAUAGUAUCCUUAACUUAACAGGCCUAGCUGCCUCUACAUAGGACCCAAUAGCCUUAUAUUUUUCUAACCCUCACAAUAUAACACUUUGUUUAUACAUGUCUUUUUCACUGUUAUUUAUCUAUUCAAUGUCUUAAAUGAUAAAUCUAUUUCAUCUUCAUGUACAUUGGAUUUAUCCUAAAUAAUUUGAUUGAAGUUAUUAAUGCUAAAUUUUUUUAGUUUUUUAUAUAAAAUAUAAAUUAGAACAAAUUAUUCAAAUUUGUAGAAUUCAUCCAGUUAACAAUUUUAACAACAUUAUGAGAAAAAAUUAAAUUGAAUAUAAAUUAUUAAAAUUAAAAUCAUAUUUGAAUAUUAAAAAAAUAAGGCUCACAUCAAACAAAGUAAAAAGUAAGAAUAAAAAAGUAUUUAAAUAAUAAUUUUAUAAAAAAUUUAAAAUCAUAUUUAAAUAAAUUGAUUAUUACAUGUCAUAUAUAAUAAUGAUCCUAUUUCUUAUUCAACAUUUAUAAAACGAAUAUACUUUACUUUGCAAUUAUAUCAAAUACAAAGGAGAUAGGAAAAAGUAAGAACAAAGGUUGAAUUUUGCUAUUUAACUAUAGUCUAAUGAGAAAGACGGUAUAUUUAUUUAUUUAUUUUGGAAAAGCACAUCAUAAUCAUAUUUUGGAUAACGACUAAGAGGGGAAAAUGAUCUAGGAAAAGUGUGUGAUAUGGUUUUGGCACUGGAAGGAAAGGGUUAAAGAUUCCAACAUACCAAUUUGAGUCAAAUUCAUCAUUUAAUACACGCAAGUUGACUAAGUUUCCUCAUACCACGUAUCAAACACCACCUUCACUCUCUCUCACCAAAUACAAUGUUCAUUUCUCAACUUAAUAAUCCUAAUUUUCUUUUCUCCUCCAUUCCCAAGUGAUUUCCAU
rnacentral:lncRNA from 1 species